ensembl:misc_RNA 7SK 7SK RNA
GGAGAUGAGGGUGAUCCAGCUGUGACGUCUGUCACCCCAUCAGUCUCCAGGGUGGAUUGGGCAGAUGGGACUGGCUAGGCCAGGGUCCCCUUCCUCCCUCACUGUUCCGUGUGUGUCCCUCUUGAAGCUGCAAGCUGGGUCCAAGAGGACGACCUUCCCUGAUGGAGGAGGACCGUUCUUCCGUCAAGGGUAGGCGAGGAGCUGUGCUCCCCCCGUAGAACCUCCAAACAAGCCCUCAAGGUUCCAUUUGCAGGAGGACGUAGGGUGGUCAGGUUCCCAAGACUCCAGACGCAUCCAAAGGAGGUGGUGCCUCAUUUCUUUUUUU